AGUGACUCUUUUCCCUUCUGCACAGGCAGGGAUCCCUUAAAAGAACUCCAAGGAAGAAUCAGGAGGCUGGGAACAGCGGGAAGGAGGAAAAUCAGGAGUUCUCUGCCAGAAGGAAAAGCUGCCAGAGCAGCAGGAACAGGAGUUGGGGAAGAGAGAGAAUGCCUGGGCACAGAGGAGAAAGCUGAAAUACCAAAUUCUGCUAUGCAGGGGGAAGGUGGCAACACCCCCACAGAGAAUUCAGAUGACCAGGACAAGAUCUGAUGCAUUUAACUGCUCCACUACAAUGUCUGACAAGCUCAAAUGGUUUUGCUUCUUUCUCUUCUUUCAAUUUGCUUUUGUUUUAAUAGCCUCAUCGU